ACCUAUUUAACUCAGUGGUUAGAGUCUUGCUUUCAUAUGGCAGAAGUCAUUGGUUCAAAUCCAAUAGUAGGUA
rnacentral:tRNA from 1 species